rnacentral:rRNA from 1 species
UCAGACGAUGCGUCAUGCAUAUCAAUAAGCGGAGGAAAAGAAACUAACAAGGAUUCCCUCAGUAACGGCGAGUGAAGCGGGAAGAGCUCAAAUUUGAAAUCUUGAAAGGUCACCUUUCACGAAUUGUAGUUUAAAGAAGUGUUUUCUGUUACGAUCGUAAUAUAAGUUCUUUGGAAUAGGACAUCACAGAGGGUGAGAAUCCCGUCUAUGAUUGCGAUUUGUAGCUUUGUGAUACACUUUCAAAGAGUCGGGUUGUUUGGGAAUGCAGCCCAAAACGGGAGGUAAAUUUCUUCUAAGGCUAAAUAUUGGCGAGAGACCGAUAGCGAACAGGUACCGUGAGGGAAAGAUGAAAAGAACUUUGAAAAGAGAGUUAAACAGUACGUGAAAUUGUCAAAAGGGAAGCGUUUGACACCAGUGUUGUUUCUCUCGAAAAUCAAUUAAAAAUGGCUCGAUUUUGUAUUGCUGAGACCUUAAAAGCUCACUGUACAUUUUUCGUGUCUUUUUUAAUGCACUUUUCGUUUAACAAGUCAACAUCAGUUUCUUUUGUUGUAAAAGGGUCAUUGGAAGGUGGCUUUCUUUUCGGAGAAAGUGUUUAUAGCCUUUGGCCUCUGCAAUCGGAGAGACUGAGGUCUGCAGCGUAGACUCUUCGGGGUUAGAUACAUUUGUGCUAAGUUAUAGCUUUUUAUAGACAACUUGUUGACUAUAAUUAGUCUUGUAGCUUACUCGCUUAUGCUAUUUUACCUACGCUUAGGAUGUUGACUGAUAUGUAGUCGUA